GGCGAGUGGCGGACGGGUGAGUAAUAUAUCGGAACGUGCCCAGUAGCGGGGGAUAACUACUCGAAAGAGUGGCUAAUACCGCAUACGCCCUACGGGGGAAAGGGGGGGAUCGCAAGACCUCUCACUAUUGGAGCGGCCGAUAUCGGAUUAGCUAGUUGGUGGGGUAAAGGCUCACCAAGGCAACGAUCCGUAGCUGGUUUGAGAGGACGACCAGCCACACUGGGACUGAGACACGGCCCAGACUCCUACGGGAGGCAGCAGUGGGGAAUUUUGGACAAUGGGGGAAACCCUGAUCCAGCCAUCCCGCGUGUAUGAUGAAGGCCUUCGGGUUGUAAAGUACUUUUGGCAGAGAAGAAAAGGUAUCCCCUAAUACGGGAUACUGCUGACGGUAUCUGCAGAAUAAGCACCGGCUAACUACGUGCCAGCAGCCGCGGUAAUACGUAGGGUGCAAGCGUUAAUCGGAAUUACUGGGCGUAAAGCGUGUGUAGGCGGUUCGGAAAGAAAGAUGUGAAAUCCCAGGGCUCAACCUUGGAACUGCAUUUUUAACUGCCGAGCUAGAGUAUGUCAGAGGGGGGUAGAAUUCCACGUGUAGCAGUGAAAUGCGUAGAUAUGUGGAGGAAUACCGAUGGCGAAGGCAGCCCCCUGGGAUAAUACUGACGCUCAGACACGAAAGCGUGGGGAGCAAACAGGAUUUGAUACCCUGGUAGUCCACGCUCCUAAACGUUGUCAACUAGCUGUUGGGGCCGUUAGGCCUUAGUAGCGCAGCUAACGCGUGAAGUUGACCGCCUGGGGAGUACGGUCGCAAGAUUAAAACUCAAAGGAAUUGACGGGGACCCGCACAAGCGGUGGAUGAUGUGGAUUAAUUCGAUGCAACGCGAAAAACCUUACCUACCCUUGACAUGUCUGGAAAGCCGAAGAGAUUUGGCCGUGCUCGCAAGAGAACCGGAACACAGGUGCUGCAUGGCUGUCGUCAGCUCGUGUCGUGAGAUGUUGGGUUAAGUCCCGCAACGAGCGCAACCCUUGUCAUUAGUUGCUACGCAAGAGCACUCUAAUGAGACUGCCGGUGACAAACCGGAGGAAGGUGGGGAUGACGUCAAGUCCUCAUGGCCCUUAUGGGUAGGGCUUCACACGUCAUACAAUGGUCGGGACAGAGGGUCGCCAACCCGCGAGGGGGAGCCAAUCUCAGAAACCCGAUCGUAGUCCGGAUCGCAGUCUGCAACUCGACUGCGUGAAGUCGGAAUCGCUAGUAAUCGCGGAUCAGAAUGUCGCGGUGAAUACGUUCCCGGGUCUUGUACACACCGCCCGUCACACCAUGGGAGUGGGUUUCACCAGAAGU
rnacentral:rRNA from 1 species